rnacentral:rRNA from 1 species
UACGUAGGGAGCAAGCGUUGUCCGGAAUCAUUGGGCGUAAAGGGCGCGUAGGCGGCUGGGGAAGUCGGCGGUGAAAGCCCGGAGCUCAACUCCGGGUCGGCCGUCGAGACUCCUCGGCUCGAGCUCACUAGAGGCAGAUGGAAUUCCGGGUGUAGCGGUGGAAUGCGUAGAGAUCCGGAAGAACACCGGUGGCGAAGGCGGUCUGCUGGGGUGAGGCUGACGCUGAGGCGCGACAGCGUGGGGGAGCAAACAGG